rnacentral:rRNA from 1 species
CCCUUAGAUGUCCUGGGCUGCACGCGCACUACACUGACACGGUCAACGAGUUGUUCAUCUCUUUUGAGAAUCCUGCUCAGAAGUGAGACGGGCAAUCUUUUAAAACCGUGCUCGUGUUUUGGGAUAGAUGAUUGCGAUUAUUUGCCCUGAACGAGGAAUGCCCAGUAGAGGUAUCUCAUCAGGGUACCUUGAUUGUGUCCCUGCCAUCUGUACACACCGCCCGUCGCUGCUACCGAUUGGCUGUGAGAUAGAGGUCUUAAGAGUUACUCCGCAGUGAGCCUCUGGCCCGCUGCAAUGUUGUGACAAAUUUGAACUAUAUCUUACUGCUAGAGGAAGCAAAAGCCGUAACA